AGAGUUUGAUCAUGGCUCAGAUUGAACGCUGGCGGCAGGCCUAACACAUGCAAGUCGAACGGUAACAGGAAGCAGCUUGCUGCUUCGCUGACGAGUGGCGGACGGGUGAGUAAUGUCUGGGAAACUGCCUGAUGGAGGGGGAUAACUACUGGAAACGGUGGCUAAUACCGCAUAACGUCGCAAGACCAAAGAGGGGGACCUUCGGGCCUCUUGCCAUCAGAUGUGCCCAGAUGGGAUUAGCUAGUUGGUGAGGUAACGGCUCACCAAGGCGACGAUCCCUAGCUGGUCUGAGAGGAUGACCAGCCACACUGGAACUGAGACACGGUCCAGACUCCUACGGGAGGCAGCAGUGGGGAAUAUUGCACAAUGGGCGCAAGCCUGAUGCAGCCAUGCCGCGUGUAUGAAGAAGGCCUUCGGGUUGUAAAGUACUUUCAGCGGGGAGGAAGGUGUUGUGGUUAAUAACCGCAGCAAUUGACGUUACCCGCAGAAGAAGCACCGGCUAACUCCGUGCCAGCAGCCGCGGUAAUACGGAGGGUGCAAGCGUUAAUCGGAAUUACUGGGCGUAAAGCGCACGCAGGCGGUCUGUCAAGUCGGAUGUGAAAUCCCCGGGCUCAACCUGGGAACUGCAUUCGAAACUGGCAGGCUUGAGUCUUGUAGAGGGGGGUAGAAUUCCAGGUGUAGCGGUGAAAUGCGUAGAGAUCUGGAGGAAUACCGGUGGCGAAGGCGGCCCCCUGGACAAAGACUGACGCUCAGGUGCGAAAGCGUGGGGAGCAAACAGGAUUAGAUACCCUGGUAGUCCACGCCGUAAACGAUGUCUACUUGGAGGUUGUGCCCUUGAGGCGUGGCUUCCGGAGCUAACGCGUUAAGUAGACCGCCUGGGGAGUACGGCCGCAAGGUUAAAACUCAAAUGAAUUGACGGGGGCCCGCACAAGCGGUGGAGCAUGUGGUUUAAUUCGAUGCAACGCGAAGAACCUUACCUGGUCUUGACAUCCACAGAACUUUCCAGAGAUGGACUGGUGCCUUCGGGAACUGUGAGACAGGUGCUGCAUGGCUGUCGUCAGCUCGUGUUGUGAAAUGUUGGGUUAAGUCCCGCAACGAGCGCAACCCUUAUCCUUUGUUGCCAGCGGUCCGGCCGGGAACUCAAAGGAGACUGCCAGUGAUAAACUGGAGGAAGGUGGGGAUGACGUCAAGUCAUCAUGGCCCUUACGACCAGGGCUACACACGUGCUACAAUGGCGCAUACAAAGAGAAGCGACCUCGCGAGAGCAAGCGGACCUCAUAAAGUGCGUCGUAGUCCGGAUUGGAGUCUGCAACUCGACUCCAUGAAGUCGGAAUCGCUAGUAAUCGUGGAUCAGAAUGCCACGGUGAAUACGUUCCCGGGCCUUGUACACACCGCCCGUCACACCAUGGGAGUGGGUUGCAAAAGAAGUAGGUAGCUUAACCUUCGGGAGGGCGCUUACCACUUUGUGAUUCAUGACUGGGGUGAAGUCGUAACAAGGUAACCGUAGGGGAACCUGCGGUUGGAUCACCU
rnacentral:rRNA from 1 species